AGUGCAUAACACGCAUUAUCCCGCUUAAUAGUCACAGAAGUCCCGUUGUGAUCCCCUUAGGAAGGUGAGAGGGUUGAGGCGAGGGGCGUGGCUUGUCAGGGGCGUGGCUUGCCUGGGGCGUGGCCUGCCAGAGGACGGGCAGCCGGCAGGGUGGAGGGACAGGUGGGAGUCACGCCAGCUCCAACCAGGUCUAGAACCCAAACCUUCAACCCCUGAGCUUUCCUGCCUUCGAGUCCUCGGAGCUCUCCUGGAGGCUGAGCAGGCAACAGAGCCUGCUCCUCAGCUGGAUGUGGCCCGUGGGAGGUGGAGAAACUGAGGCUCAGAUAAAUGACUAAGAAGUAAAGUGAGGUCCCAUAGCCAGUGAAUGGCAGAGCAGGGAUUCGAACCCAGGUCUCUCAUCUGGGAAGUGGGAUGAUAGCGCCAACCUAGCUGGAUUGCUGUGACUGCCAGCACAAUGCCUUCUAAGGGUUCAAGAUGAGAUUACUUAGUCCCAGAUGGGUUAAGUAACUGGCCCAAGGUCACAGCGCUGGUAAGCAACUGGGCUUCAAUCCAACCAUCCUGACUCCAGAAGCCUCUUUGAACUACCACCUUCUGCACCUGCCCCAGGGCUUCUUCGCCUGAGCCGGUGCCUUGCUGCCGCCCUGCUCAUCUCUUCUGGGAAGAUGCCUCUCAUCUUGCCAGUCCUCAAGCCAGAAGCCUCCGGUGCUGCCCUAGGGCUCCCUGAAUAGGCAUCCCUAAGGCAUCCCUCCUGGUGUUCAAACCACAUCCUUCCUGGCUAAGCUUCCAUUCCCCAGGGUAGCCCUCCACACUUUGGAGCCUCAGCUCACCUCUCACUCUCACACUUCAGUUUCACACUUCCCUUCUGAAUGGUCCCACCUCUGUGCUUUUGCUUAAGCUGUGCACACUUCCCAGAGUGCUCUUUCCCCUAUGUCUGCCUGUGCUCCAAUACCCUAUGCCUGAGCUGACCCAUGACAUACAAGCACCUACAGAGGCCUGGGGGAAGGAGGCAGUGGUAUGUGUGUCAGUGUGGGGAGUCAGUGAAGAGGUUUGGGGCUUUAGGGUCAGUUAUGUGACUUCAGGGCAAGUCCCCAUCUCCCUGAACCCCAGUUUCUGCAAAAUGAAGAUAUCCAUCCCAGCUUCUCCCAAGGUUUAUAAUGGUAAUCUGUGAGGUUCUGGCACAUGAUGAAUCCAUAACUACCCGUUGUGACAAGUUCCCCACUUGUGAAGUCAAAUGAAGACCCCCUGGUGUUGACAGUGCAGGAAAACCUGUGCCCGAGCACCUUGUCCCUAGGGAGAACCCUACCUUCAGUGCCUCUCUGAACAACAGGGCCAGGAAGGGGUCACUGUAUAGCAGUUGGUCCCUAGUGACCAGUCCUGGCAGAGGGCCUUUAUCCCACUUCCAGUAGCCCAGCACCAACCAUCCCCAGCUCUGGGAGGGGGUGGGCAGCACCCUCCUUCCUCCACAUUGUUGCCACCUCAGAGAGUCAGAAUCCAGGGAGACAGUCUCCUGGCAGCGGAGCUCCUGCUGCCCGCCAUGGGUGUCUGUGAUGCUGCCGUGCCCACUGGGGGCUGCAGGCACUCCAGCAUCAGGAUGGACUAAAUCUCGGGAGUGGGAAGGGGACUCCAGCCAGGGGCACUGGAGACAGGGCCAGCCUGAGUGCCUGCUUCUCCCAGGGGCAGGUGCCAGCAUGGUGCACCCCUCAAGGAGUGUGGCAGGUAAGAUUGAGGUCCUGGCUGCCCCAGGCUCCUGUGCCAUCGAGAGGGAAAGCACCUGGAACAGGUAUACAGUAGAUGCUUAGUGAUGAGGAGAAUCUUCACUUGGUGGAAUUCUGAACACUUUGGGUACCACCAGAGUCAGAAUUCCCAGAGGAGGAGGCAGGCAUUUGAUAACGGAUGUCUGGAGGAUAUAGCAUGUUCAACCUUCCCCUCUCCAUGAGAGGAAGUGGUGACCUCAACCCCAGCACCCUCCUCUGCCCAUUCACACCCACCCACUCCCACCUCUCUGCCAGCCUCAGUUGGAUGUGGAGCAGAAUGUAAUGAGGACUUACCUGUCCACAAGGACUUCACAACUGUUCCAAGGCGAUGGAUGGGCAGGUGCUAACGCAGCCCCUCAGUGUCCCCCUUCCCUUGCUUUUGGGGUGGGCUUGGGGCCCCCGGGGGGUCCUAACUCACUGAAGAUACCAGGGCCCAGCUUCUGAGUAUUCCUAGAGGCCAUUUCUACCCCUAGAAACUUUACAUGGAGCCAAAAGCCCAUUUGAAGCUCAGUCUGGGCCAGGAGAGGCUAAUCAUAAAAGGGAUAUUUUUUAAGUGUACAGAAAUAAGAAUUUAUUUUUGAAGACAUGAUUUAUAUUUUGAAUGGCUAAUGCACUCACAUGAUUCAAAAUUCAAAAUUCCAAAAGAACCGACAGUGCAAAGUCGCUCCUCCUUUGGUCCCCACCACCCAGUUUCCCUCUGCAGAGGGAACCUUGUUGCCAGUUCUUGUGUAUUCUUCCAGAGAUCUUCUAUGUAUAAACCGUCAUCCUCCUAGGAAUUCUCAUUUGUUAUCCUUUUAAAAUGCACACACAUCCUGCUCUGUACCUGGCUUUCUUCCCUUAAAAACACAUCUUGAUUAUUGUUCUAUGUCACUUGCAAAACAGGUUCCUCAUUCUUAUUUUGUGGCUGCAGAUGACUUCAUUGUAUGGAAGGACUGCACAUUAUUUAACUGAUCCCUUAUUUUUUGUUUUUUGUUUUUUGAAAUAGAGUCUCGCUCUGUCACCCAGGCUGGAGUGCAAUGGCACAAUCUCAGCUCACUGCAACCUCUGCCUCCCGGGUUCAAGUGAUUCUCCUGCCUCAGACUCCUGAGUAGCUGGGAUUACAGGCACGCACCACCACGCCCAGCUAAUUUUUGUAUUUUUCAUAGAGACGGGGUUUCACCAUGCUGGCCAGGCUGGUCUUGAACUCCUGACCUCAUGGUCCACCCACCUUGGCCUCUCAUAGUGCUGGGAUUACAGGCCUGAGCCACCGUGCCCGGCUGAUCCCUUAUUGAUGCACAUUUAGCUUGUUUCCGUGUUUGGUAAUUACAUGAAAUGUUGCAAUAAAUAACUUUGUACACA
rnacentral:lncRNA from 1 species